GGAGUCCCUUGGUUACCAAACAAUCCUUAAGGGUGUGGCUUCCCAUUAUGCUGUAGUAGGUAUAUAAGGAGCAGGCAGGAGACCUCCUGGUCAUUACUGCCAGGGGUAACACUGCUUACAGAAAGCUGUAUAGUAGGGGAAGCUAGUGUAACUAAAGAUCACCAGAAAGAUGGAAGAACAGCCUACACAAAGCAAUACCUUGGAAAAGAAUGAAGGAGAAGGGCCUGUUCAGCGUCAGAACAAGCGGGAUGAGAAGAAGGAGAAGAUAAUCAGGAGAGUGAAAGAAGUGCUCGCUCAGAGCCCGAACAAGGACAAGAAUUCAACGGUGAUCGUUAUUUGCUAUAGGGGCAAGAAGAAAAGAAACCCUAGUCAGCUGGAAAAGAAUGAAGGGACUCAGGACCAUUCUAGCAGUCCAAAUAACACCCAGUGACUGGCAGCAAUAGCAGACCUAAGCAGCUCUGCACCAUCUCCAGCAGGCUGCAGAGCCCUAUAAGGAACAGGUCAGGCAGCAGCUCUGCACCAUCUCCAGCAGGCUGCAGAAUCCUAAAAGGAACAGGUCAGGUCUGAUCAAUAAAGUAAGAACAAGAUUUAGCAGG